rnacentral:rRNA from 1 species
UACGAGGGAUGCAAGCGUUAUCCGGAAUUAUUGGGCGUAAAGAGUUUGUAGGUGGUUUGGUGUGUUUAAUGUUAAAUAUUAAAGCUUAACUUUGAAAUUGCAUUGAAAACUACCAGACUUGAGUAUGAUAGAGGUAAAGGGAAUUUCCAGUGUAGCGGUGAAAUGCGUAGAUAUUGGAAGGAACACCAAAGGCGAAAGCACUUUACUAGGUCAAUACUGACACUGAGGAACGAAAGCUAAGGUAAUCAAACGG